rnacentral:rRNA from 1 species
AGGACGAACGCUGGCGGCGUGCUUAACACAUGCAAGUCGAGCGGAAAGGCCACUUCGGUGGUACUCGAGCGGCGAACGGGUGAGUAACACGUGAGUAAUCUGCCCCUGGCUUUGGGAUAGCCACCGGAAACGGUGAUUAAUACCGGAUACGACCGCUCCUCGCAUGAGGUGGUGGUGGAAAGUUUUUCGGCCAGGGAUGUGCUCGCGGCCUAUCAGCUUGAUGGUGAGGUAAUGGCUCACCAUGGCUUCGGACGGGUAGCCGGCCUGAGAGGGUGACCGGUCACACUGGGACUGAGACACGGCCCAGACUCCUACGGGAGGCAGCAGUGGGGAAUAUGGACAAUGGGCGGAAGCCUGAUCCAGCAACGCCGCGUGAGGACGACGGCCGUUCGGGUUCGUAAACCGUCUUUCGCCUGUGACGUAAGUUUUGUCUUUUGGCUAAGUGACGUAACAGGUAAAGAG